rnacentral:rRNA from 1 species
CCUGGUUGAUCCUGCCAGUAGUCAUAUGCUUGUCUCAAAGAUUAAGCCAUGCAUGUGUAAGCACACACUGUUUUAAAAGUGAAGCCGCGAAUGGCUCAUUACAACAGCCACAGUUUAUUAGAACUUACAAUCAUGGAUAACUGUGGUAAUUCUAGAGCUAAUACACGCACAAAAACUUCAACUGAAUUGGUUGAAGUGCUUUUAUUAGAACAAAAACCGAACGGCGUUUGGCGAAUGUUGAACGUCGAAACUGUUUGGUGAAUCUGAAUAACUAUUUCUGAUCGCAUGGUCUAGCACCGGCGACAUCACUUUCAAGUGUCUGCCUUAUCAACCUUCGAUGGUAGUCUAUGCGACUACCAUGGUGAUAACGGGUAACGGAGAAUCAGGGUUCGACUCCGGAGAGGGAGCCUGAGAAACGGCUACCACAUCCAAGGAAGGCAGCAGGCGCGCAAAUUACCCACUCCCAGCUUGGGGAGGUAGUGACGAAAAAUAACGAGACGAUUCUCGUUUGAGAAACGUUAUCGAAAUGAGUACGCUUUACACACGCUAACGAGUAGCAAUUGGAGGGCAAGUCUGGUGCCAGCAGCCGCGGUAAUUCCAGCUCCAAUAGCGUAUAUUAAAGUUGCUGCGGUUAAAACGCUCGUAGUUGAAUUGUGGUCUUAGACAACAGUCCCCCUACAUAGGUGUGGCACGGUUGCUCGAGAUCUUCAUUCGUGGUUGCUGUUGUUGCUCUUCAUUGAGUGUCAAUGGUGCCUCGAGAUUUUACUUUGAAAAAAUUAGAGUGCUCAAAGCAGGUUGUGAUGCCUGAAUAAUGGUGCAUGGAAUAAUAGAAUACGAUCUCGGUUCUAUUUUGUUGUUUUCGAACCGGAGAUAAUGAUUGAAAGGAACAGACGGGGGCAUUCGUAUUGCUGCGUUAGAGGUGAAAUUCUUGGAUCGCAGCAAGAUGAACAAUUGCGAAAGCAUUUGCCAAGAAUGUUUUCAUUAAUCAAGAACGAAAGUUAGAGGUUCGAAGGCGAUCAGAUACCGCCCUAGUUCUAACGGUAAACUAUGCCAACCAGCGAUUCGCCGAAGUUCAUUUAAGACUCGGCGAGCAGCUUCCGGGAAACCAAAGUGUUUCGGUUCCGGGGGAAGUAUGGUUGCAAAGCUCAUUGUUGCAUUCUCAAACUGGAUUGUGCGAAGAGCAUGAGGAGGUAAGUUUGUAUAUGGAACUGGAUAAACGGAGAGAUGCUAGGCGAAGGAAUGCUCGAUAUAUAGCAGACAAAGAAUUGGAAUUGUUUAUGGAAUAUCUGAAAAAGCCCAAACGGAAUGUUAAAAGAAAGCAAGACACAUCUCCAUUGAACAACACUUUCAGCAGUAUGGAUGAAAGUUCUGAAACUGAAUCAGAGCCCGAAAUGGAAAUAAUGAAAACAAGCCAUCCUGUACCAGAUCUGCCUUAUCAUUGUCUUCUUGAAGAUGAUGGUCCUUUCAGACGUGUUCAGAUUUUGACUCGCAAAGAAAUAAACCCAAUGGUGCGCGAUUAUCACAUUCAGUAUGAAAAUACGUUGAUAGAAUUAGCUGCCGCUUUGACGAUGAAAUACCAAUUGCGAAUGGUGCAGUCGGGAUGGCAGGGUCAGGAAGAAACUUCCGUUGAAGAUCGUUGGAACAUUUCGGUAGAAAAGUGUCAAAAUAGCAGUCGAGUUUUUGUGCGAAAUCAAAGCGAAGUUUUGCGCUACAUGUCUUUGGAGAAAGAUCGUCUGGAAAACACCAGUACAUGUGCAUACGAGAUAUUUGGGCAACGUAUUUGCGAUAG